ensembl:lncRNA
GAAAGGCCUAUAUGUUGAGCUAGCAGCUCUCUAGUGUUGCUAAUGAAUAAUUAAAAAUAACAGUCUUUAUGUGAGGCUUGACAGUAUACAUGUCCUUUAAGUAUAUCCUGCUUUGUAAGGAACUUGGCAAAAUGACAGCCCAAGAAAGGCAUCCCACUGCAUCCUGUGCAGACACAGCGAGCGCUCUGGAGGAUGACGGUGAUGUACUCAAGAUGGUUGUGAAAGAAAAGGGCAAUCAAUUCAGUCCUUUUCUUUAUUUGCUUCUGCAUAGUGAGCUGCUACUAUCCCAGGACCUUAUCUGUUUCCAGGAAAGAGGGUAUGUGGUUCCCUUUGGCUGUUGACUGAAAGGCAUUUGUAUCUUCUCUGAACCACUGCCACUGAGAACCCUUACAUCUGUGAUAUGCUCAGGGUUCACCCUCUGGUUUCCUGGGAGCUCCUGUAAAGUGCUAUAUAAAGGAGCACACCCCUGGACACAGACUGAAACUCACUUGUUGAUCCAUGGAUAUUUGCUUCUGCUCCCAUCACCCUUUCACAAUGAAUGUAUACUGCUCUGGAAUAUGCAAAUAUAUAUUUUUUUCUGUUGGUCCAGCAUAUUCACUGUGGUUUUUUUAGAUGUCCUCCUCAGAUUUCAAGACCAAAAUCAUUGUAAGAAAAUUGAGAGUUACAAAAACUUUAAAAACUGGAUCCAUGCAGCCUAAUUUGCAACCUGUUUAUGCUUACUUAUACGUGCAUGAAUGGUACAAUCUAUUUGAAAUAUGAUUUCUAAAGAAAAUUCUGCUAGAAUUCCUCAAAGGAGUCCUAUUGAAUUUAUGACCUGAAAAUCAACAUGGGACCAAAUCAUGCUAUAAAGCUGUUGCAUCCUGGGAUCUCCUUGGAAGUGCAAAAUGUCCAAAAGAAUGACC